rnacentral:lncRNA from 1 species
GUUCUGGAAUGCCAGGCUAAGAAGUACAGACUUUAUCCUAUAGGCCUGUGAUUCUCAACUAGGACCAAAGUUACAAAAUUGGAUGAAAACUUCCAGUGGAUACUGAAAAUACAACGAGUUAUGUGAGCACAUCUGUGUAGGAGGGGAAGAAGCAGUUCUCAUGAUCGUCUAGAAGACAAACCCUUGGACCACUGAAGAAUUCACCUGAAGAAUAAAUCUGUCUUACAGCAUUAAGUUUGUCUACAAUGUCUGCACAUGCAAUGGACAUUAGUGCCUAUUAAAUGCCAAGCACUAUAUUAAGCAAUGGGGAUACAGGGAUAAUUAAGUCCCAGUCUCUAGCCUGGGAGGCGUUCAGUCUGGGGAAGACAGAAAUGUAAAUAUUUAUGAAUCUAAUGAACUCAGUGCUACAGAAACACAGAAGUAUUUAACAUAUGAACAAAAAACCUACAGCCACCUAAAUGUUAAUGUCUUACUUUCAGUUUCAUCCUUUAAAAAUCCUUUUUCCAAGUUAAAUAUCAAAUAUUGAUGGAAAAAAGUUAAUAUAUUUUGAAAGUAAAUAAAGUAAAACAUUCUUGAGAAUGCUUAAAGUAAAUUUUUAGUUUACUGUCUCAGUGAACCAUGUCUGGAGAGUUACUUAAAAGUUCACUUCCACUUCUGAAGUUAGUUGAUGUAAAUAUGUUUAGGUGAAUACUCAUCAAAGGAUGGAUAAGAAAACCAU